UAAAAAAAAACUCCCUCAUAGAACAGUUGAGUUUUAUGACAUUUGGGAGACUCUAUAAGCUUAAUACUGCUUAUAUAUUGUUCAAAUUCAGCCAGACGUCCGUGUAAAUUCUUUUCAAUACUCUUCAGUUAUGAAUAUGGAAUUUACCAACAAUAUUAAAAGGUUGAUAAUGUAUUCAAUGGUCUCU